rnacentral:rRNA from 1 species
AUUGAACGCUGGCGGCAGGCUUAACACAUGCAAGUCGAGCGGAGUGAUGGUGCUUGCACUAUCACUUAGCGGCGGACGGGUGAGUAAUGCUUAGGAAUCUGCCAUUUAGUGGGGGACAACAUUCCGAAAGGAAUGCUAAUACCGCAUACGUCCUACGGGAGAAAGCAGGGGAUCUUCGGACCUUGCGCUAAAUGAUGAGCCUAAGUCGGAUUAGCUAGUUGGUGGGGUAAAGGCCUACCAAGGCGACGAUCUGUAGCGGGUCUGAGAGGAUGAUCCGCCAGGCUGGGACUGGGACACGGCCCAGACUCCUACGGGAGGCAGCAGUGGGGAAGAUUGGACAAUGGGCUGAAGCCUGAUCCAGCCAUGCCGCGUGUGUGAAGAAGGCCUUUUGGUUGUAAAGCACUUUAAGCGAGGAGGAGGCUACUAGUACUAAUACUACUGGAUAGUGGACGUUACUCGCAGAAUAAGCACCGGCUAACUCUGUGCCAGCAGCCGCCGUAAUAC